rnacentral:rRNA from 1 species
GAUGAACGCUAGCGGCAGGCCUAACACAUGCAAGUCGAGGGGUAGAGUUCUUCGGGACUUGAGACCGGCGCACGGGUGCGUAACGCGUAUGCAAUCUACCUUAUACAGGGGAAUAGCCCAGAGAAAUUUGGAUUAAUGCCCCAUAGUAUUAUGAAAUCGCAUGGUUUUAUAAUUAAAGUUCCAACGGUAUAAGAUGAGCAUGCGUCCCAUUAGUUAGUUGGUAAGGUAACGGCUUACCAAGACAAUGAUGGGUAGGGGUCCUGAGAGGGAGAUCCCCCACACUGGUACUGAGACACGGACCAGACUCCUACGGGAGGCAGCAGUGAGGAAUAUUGGUCAAUGGUCGCAAGACUGAACCAGCCAUGCCGCGUGCAGGAAGACGGUCCUAUGGAUUGUAAACUGCUUUUAUACAGGAAGAAACCCUCCCACGUGUGGGAGCUUGACGGUACUGUAGGAAUAAGGAUCGGCUAAACUCCGUG